AAAUGGAAAUGGAAUGAUUCAUAGGCAUCUCUAUCAAAGUUUCUGUCUUUUGUUUUUUCUCUUAUUUUAUUCUAGGGUUUGAAAAUUAGAUUCGAUCGUAUCGCUUCCUUUCUCGAUCUUAACCCCAUUCGCCAUCAUUACCAUCAUUAUUAUUUUAAGUUCUUCCUUUAAUUUGUAUUAUUCAUUUUAGCAUUCUCUUUAGGUUUCGAUUAUUUGUAACCAAGUUCACGCCCAUUUUUCAUUAGAUUUUCAUAUUCCUAAUUUGGGAGCUAAGACUCGCUUCUUCGAUUGGUUUCUAGGGUUUCUAGCGGUACAAUUUUGUGUGUAGUGAAUGAACUGAAGGAGCUUACUUGGAAGGGAUUUUUGGGAAAUUAUUUAUAAAAUUGGGGAGAAAUAAUGUUUGUACCGGGUAUGGAUUCUGCCAGAGAAGCUGGUGGUGGAGUUGCGGGCACAGUAUUAAUGCGGUUUGUGUGGCCUCACGGGGGUCGAAGUGUAUUUCUGAGCGGUAGUUUUGAUAGAUGGACUAGGCUCGUGCCUAUGUUGCCCAUGGAAGGUAGCCCUGCAGUAUUUCAGGCCAUUUGCAGUAUAACACCCGGUUAUCACCAGUAUAAAUUUUUGGUUGAUGGAGAAUGGAAGCAUGACGAGUGCCAACCUUGCUCAACAAGUGAAUAUGGGGUAGUGAACACUGUCCUGUUCACUGGGGAAGCCAAUUACAAUCCGAUCAUAGGUCCAGAGAUGGCAUUGGGAUCUGGCAGGGAAAUGGAUAAUGAGACCUUUAGACGUGUGGUCCAUGUAUCAGAUAGUACAACAAGUGACAUGUCACCAAGGAUAUCAGAGGCUGACUUACAGGUGUCUCGUCACCACAUUUCUGUAUUUUUGUCAACUCACACCACAUACAAGUUACUUCCCAAGUCAGGCAAGGUUGUUGCUUUGGAUAUUGAUUUGCCAGUAAAGCAAGCAUUUCAUAUUUUGUAUGAGCAGGGAAUUCCUGUGGCUCCUCUUUGGGACUUCAGCAAGGGCCAGUUUGUUGGAGUGCUUAGUGCAUUGGAUUUCAUUUUAAUUUUGAGAGAGCUUGGAAAUCAUGGAUCAAAUUUGACAGAGGAAGAGCUUGAUACACACACCAUAUCUGCCUGGAAAGAGGGAAAAGCUUAUCUGAAUAGACAAAUUGAUGGGCAUGGGAGGGCAUUUUCUAGACGUCUCAUCCAUGCUGGGCCAUAUGAUAAUUUGAAAGAGGUUGCUUUGAGAAUAUUGCAAAAAGAGGUGGCGACAAUUCCCAUUAUCCAUUCAUCUUCAGAAGAUGGUUCAUUUCCGCAGCUACUGCAUCUUGCUUCACUUUCUGGAAUACUUAAAUGUAUUUGCAGAUAUUUUAGACAUUGUUCUGGCACCUUGCCUAUACUUCAACUGCCAAUUUGUGCAAUUCCAGUGGGUACAUGGGUUCCAAAGAUCGGAGAAUCUAAUAGACGCCCUUUGGCAAUGUUGAGACCAAGCGCUUCACUUGGUUCAGCUUUAAACCUGUUGAUUCAAGGUAUGCUUCUUGUUUCUAUCAAGUUCAUGAAAAGGAAAAUUGAUUAUCCAGGGAGAAGCGGGUGUUUCAUGAUAAAGAUGAAGUUGAUUUUUAAUGAUAAUGAGUCGUAACUUUUUCUAGUAAGCACCUUGAAGUUCUUUUGCCAAUAUCAAGAAUUGACUAAUUAUGAUGGUAAGCUUUCAUACCGCAUGCAUUGGAGGUUGCACGUUGGUAAGUGGGUGUUAGGCUUCUAAGGUCACAAUAAGCCUUGUGUUGUUACAAAAGUGAAAAUUGUGCAAAACUUUCUGCUAGGACCUUUUUCUGUGUCUCAUUAAUGGUCAAUGGUGGAGGCAAGUUGGUUAGAUACAACAUAUGACCUGUCCCUUUUCCUUGGCAAAUUGCAAUCAUUAGAUGUGGUAUCAGUUUGCUUGUGGUUUCUAAGCAUUAGGGGGGAAGUUCUUAGCUGUAGCUUUAACAAGCAGUUUGGGAUUUUAUUGAGGUUCAUCAGCAAAAUAGCACACAAGAUUGAUGACCGAAUAAGUGUGGGCUGUGUGGCAUAUCUGGAAUUUAUAUCAAAUGUAUAAAUGCUCCAACAGAUCUGGAACUAUGAAAUCACAUGCUUUAAUAAGAUGAGAGUUCUGUAAUUUUCAUUUUCAUUUCACCUACCAUUUUAUUGUUCACACUCUCCUUGGUCCAGCUACUAGCGAACGAAAUUUUGCGUAGGUACCAUCGUACCUCAUCUAAGCAGGAUUUGGUCUUAGGUUAUUGGUAUGGUGCUGAGAGACUUUACUACUCAGCUAGUUUCCUUAGAUGUUUAGUUUAGUGAACAGUACUACACAUAUCAUUGUGUCAAGGAUUGGCCUCUUAUGGUAUCAUCAGUAAUAAUAUGCCUACUGCCACUCUUCAUUUUAUGUGAAUCCUUAUUCCAAUGUAUUUCCUUGUAUUUGCAGCUCAAGUAAGUUCAAUACCUAUAGUUGACGAUAACGACUCGUUACUAGAUAUAUAUUGUCGGAGGUAAGUAGUUCUUCUGGGUAUAAUGCGACUGUUUCAGAUCUCAUUUUUGAACAAUUUUCAGAUUUUGAAGAGAAAUGUUGUUGUUUGAACAGUGAUAUAACUGCUUUGGCAAAAGAUAGAGUUUAUACACAUAUCAAUAUUAAUGAAAUGACUGUUCAUCAGGUACUGAUCCUUCUUCCCCUCUUACUUUUCAUUCCCUUGAAGAUGUUCACCUUGCCAGUUCAUAUUUGUUAAUUGAAAGCAAUAACUUAAAUUUGUAGAACAACUCGUUGGCUUUUUGCGCAAUGUGGAUUUUAUUUAGUUUAAUUGAGCUGAAUGGCAAUACCCUUUAGAGUCUCUAGAUUUGAAAGAUUUUAGGUCAGCAUCAGCAGGUACCCACCUUAGAGUAUGAGCAGUCUUCCAACAGGAACAAGGACCUUAGGUUUUACAAGGACCUUAGGUUUUACAAGAAGCGAUUUUACUGGGGAAUUCUUGAAUUUCAGAUUGCAAACUUAAACAUGGGAGAGCGCAUGAAAAAACCUUAGAAUGCAACUACUGGUUGGACAUUGUGAAUCAGUAUCACUUCAUAGACAUGGCAUCAAGAUUUAAUUCCAAUGUUUGAAUCUGGCUUUGUGAAUUUAUUUGAAUUAUUAAGCAUUGUUUAUGAUGAAUUUUUUUAUGCUAUCAUAUUUAAAAAUGCAGUUUAAAAUUGGGAAUGUGCUUGGCAUCGUGCUGAUAUUGGGGCAUAUGUUUAUUACUGUUAUUAUUUCAAUUGAUUAGGCUUUGCAAUUGGGACAAGACUCCUAUUCUCCAAAUGAGAGACUAAAUCAAAGAUUUCAGAUGUGUUUGCGUUCUGAUACAUUGCAUAAAGUGAUGGAACGGUUGGCAAACCCAGGUGUUAGACGG
rnacentral:misc_RNA from 1 species